UACGUAGGGUGCAAGCGUUAAUCGGAAUUACUGGGCGUAAAGCGUGCGCAGGCGGUUGGGCAAGUCAGAUGUGAAAUCCCCGGGCUUAACCUGGGAACUGCAUUUGUGACUGUACGGCUGGAGUGCGGCAGAGGGGGGUGGAAUUCCGCGUGUAGCAGUGAAAUGCGUAGAUAUGCGGAGGAACACCGAUGGCGAAGGCAAUCCCCUGGGCCUGCACUGACGCUCAUGCACGAAAGCGUGGGGAGCAAACAGG
rnacentral:rRNA from 1 species